rnacentral:rRNA from 1 species
UACGAAGGGGGCUAGCGUUGUUCGGAUUUACUGGGCGUAAAGCGCACGUAGGCGGAUCGUUAAGUCGGGGGUGAAAUCCUGGAGCUCAACUCCAGAACUGCCUUCGAUACUGGCGAUCUUGAGUCCGGAAGAGGUGAGUGGAACUCCUAGUGUAGAGGUGGAAUUCGUAGAUAUUAGGAAGAACACCAGUGGCGAAGGCGGCUCACUGGUCCGGUACUGACGCUGAGGUGCGGAAAGCGUGGGGAGCAAACAGG